UGGGAAAACAAUCAUGGGCCUGCAACUUGUCGUUGUUUAUCUGUUUAGGUAGUAAGAUGACACAACCCGAGGUUUUUGGAGAUUACCCUAUUCGAGGUCCGGCUGGGCAACGGCGGCCCGGUCAGAAAUGAUCAACCCUAGUCUCGAGUCAGCGAUCGGUUGAAAACAGUGGGAGCAACGAACAACAGGCUACAGAGCAGAGCAAAUAGCCAAAUCUUGUACCUGUAAGGCUGUAAGCCUGUAACUAGACGGAAAGUCUAAUAAACAACACCCUUUCUUCUUCUUCCUUUUACCGAUGAUAAUACCUCAUUCAGUCGUUUCUUUGUUUUUCUCAUCUUGGAUUCCUUUUUAAACGAGGAAUAGACGAAACGCGGAAGAACACGUAAAUAAGUUGCGAGAGGAGAAAAUUUCAUUACGUCUUUCAUCCGCGUCGUUUUUUUGUACCCUAAUUCUUUGAGUAAUUGAGUUCGUUGUUCCUUCAGACCAUGAUUUCAUUGUCUUCAUCUCUAUGAAAUUCUCUGCAAAUAAGGUCUUGUCUGGCAGAGCUGUCCCUAGUUUCUUGACCAUUUCCAUUCGCACAGCAGUGGAGGUUCUCGGGCUCCUGAUUCAUGUGAAAUGGCGGACCCGGACGAGGGCAUGGGCAGGUUGACGGCAUCACCGCUGGAGUUCGCUGGUGAUUCUACAGCAGCUCCUCCUACUUCUACUGCCUCGUCGUCAUCUGCUUCUGCUUCUUAUUCGUCUGUUGGUUCUGAGAACAUUCGAGGGGUUUCUAGCUAUGCUAUCAAUCAGGGCGAUCAGUUCCUCAAGGAAGCUGUGCAGAACCCUGGCGAGCAUCUAUCGAUUGGCAUAUGUAGUAAUAUAAAAACUAAAAGUUCUAGAACUGAUGCACAAAGAGAAAGACGAAGACUGUUACAACGUAUACGUCGUCAAAAAUUGACUGAUGAGGAAAGAAGAAAUUUACUUGAGCGGAGACGCGAAAAGAAAUUAAAUGAGCAGCAGAGAGAAAGCCAUCGAAUAAGAAAUAGAUUGAGAUAUCAAUCUCUGACAGAUGAACAAAGAAAGCGUAUAAAUGAGGCUAGGAGGAGGAGGAGACAUGCCCUAACGGCUGAAAAAUCUCUACCUAGCAAAGGCGAAAUACAAAUUUUGCUAACCGAAGGAAGAAUGCGCUUAACUGAAUUACGUCGUUACGCUCGGUGUACAACUCAUCCCCCAAUACAAUCUAUAACUAUGGAAAAUUGUAUUGGGGAUCAACAUCUUGGACAAGAAGUAGGUAUUAAAAAUGGUGGUAUAUCUUCACAGAUAGAAGGGAUGGUUGGAGGUAAGAAAAUGUUAAUGCUAUUAAUGCAGCGAACAACAUUGGAGAUGAGAUUCAAACAUGUGCAUCAUGAUGGAAAGAUCUUCAUGGUUCAUUAAGAGGAUAUUUUGAUUCAAUUUCUCGCAGGCUUUUAGUUAAGGUUCUAACCCUCAAUGAGAGCAUUAAUUUGAUCAAUUAAGAAAUUGCUUGGUAGAUUGUAAAUUGCAUAAUCUUUUUAUAUGGUAAACAAUGUAAAUUGCAUAAGUUGAAAAAGGGUGUCUGUUGCUGCAGCUUUGGUUUUUUUGUUUUAGUUGGGGGGUUUAUUCUUUAUGUAUUCUUUUUAAUCGUUAGUCUGAUCAAUUGACCGAUUUGAUGAGAUAUUGAUGUCUAUACUCUAUAGUCGAAGCUGGGCAUUCUGGCCAAUCUUGAUCUCUCUAUAUAAAUAGACAACAUUUGCAUAUAGUUUGGUAAUUUUAUGGGUGCAUACUGAUGAAUCACUCAUUAACCCCACCGCGAAGAGGGAGAGAGAGUAGUGUGGUGGGCCAGUUUGGAUUUCUAAGAAAAACCGGUGUUUUCAGCUGGAGUACUCGGAUGGUUGGAUUAAUGACAUGGUCAUAAUCCUGGUUCUGACUUGCCGUUAGGGCUGCAAUUGAUAUCCAUUUACCUGAGUUUGAAUCCGUUUAAGAGAGAUUCAAAUUUCAUCAGUUUGAAAUUAGAUCGAAUCUGGAUCCAAUGCGUUAUUUUUAACCUGUCAUUGACGCAGUUGGUGGGAUGAAUCCAUAGCGUUAUUUUAAACCUGUCAUUGAUCCAGUUGGUUGGAUAGGUGAUCCAUUGAUUCCAUUCACAAUUAUAAUUCGGGCUUUAUCUUUCAUUGAUCCAUUUGGUCGGGUAGAUGAUCCAUUAACAAUUCCAAUUCCGUCUUUCUUAAACCUAAAGAAAUCAUUGACUUGAUCAAAGAUUUUGACCUUGAUGGAAGGACCAUCAAUCCGAUUGACCCAUUCAUCACAGGUUGACACGUUGACCCAGAUGGCCGAAUUACUUACCAGAGGGAAAAAGGGAUUCAAUGUCCGGGUCGGGUUUUCUAAUUUGAGACAAAAUUAGCGUUCUCCUGGAACCGGGUCAAACGGUCGGAUCUCCCGAGACGGCGAUUGGUUGAGAUUCUUGAGAAACUGGAAACGUCAGUUGAUCAGUGCGCUUUUCCAAAUCCUGUACCUGCGCGCAAUCAGAUGGAAAGUCUAAUGAACACUUUCUUCUUCCUCUGUAUCGAUGAAAACACUUCUAUCAGUCGUUUCUUAAUGCUCAUCUUAGAUUCCAUUUUAAACGAGCAAUAGACGAAAGAACACGUUAUGUAGAUGCUGUGAGAGAGAUAAAGAAAGAGAAUUACAUGCCAUUAUCAUCUUACUAUAUCCUCUUUCAUCCGCGUUGGUUUUCUGUACCCUAAUUCUUCUAGUUCGUUAUUCCUUCUGACCGUGAUUGCGUUUAUCAUCGUCCCCAUGGAAUUUUCUGCAAUUAGGGUUUGUCUGGCAGAGCUAGCCCGAGUUUCAUGACCCUCUCCAUUCCCAAGCCCUAGAAUUUUCCGGCGAUGGAGGGCUCUGUGGAGGAUUUCGGGGCAGCUGAUUCAUGUGAAAUUGCGGAUCGAGAAGAAAGCAUCUACAGGUUGAUGAUCUCCUUCCAGGAGAAUUCGACGACGGCACCACCUGUGGAGUUCGCCGAUGAUUCUGCAGUACCUCCUUUUCCUACUUCUACUGCUUCUUCCGUCUCGUCGUUUUCUGCUUCUGCUUCUUCUUCUUCUUCGUCUGUUGGGUCUGAGAAGAUUCGAGAGGUUUCUGACAAUGUUAUCAAUCAGGAUGAUCAGUUCCUCAAGGAAGCUAUGCAGAUUCCUGGAGAGCAGCUAUCGGAACCAUCAAUUGGCAUAUGCAACAAUAUAAAAACUAAAAGUUCUAGAACUGAUGCACAAAGAGAAAGACGAAGACUGUUGCAACGUAUACGUCGUCAGCAAAUGACUGAUGAGCAAAGAAGAAUUUUACUUGAACGGAGACGCCAAAAGAAAUUAAAUGAGCAGCAGAGGGAAAGUCAUCGAGUAAGAAAUAGAUUAAGACAUCGAUCCCUGACUGAUGAACAAAGAAAACGCAUUAAUGAAGCUAGAAGAAGAAGGAUGCAAUCAUUGACAGAUGAACAAAGAGAGUGCAUAAAUGAAGCUCGAAGAAGAAGGAGACAAUCCCUUACAGCUGAACAAAGAGAACAUGUAAAUGAGGCUCGAAGAAAAAGGAGACAAGUAUUACAUGCAAACAAAGAAGAAUGGGAAGUACAUAAUGAAAUUAAUGGACCAUAUCAACACGAUGGUAGCUCUUUAAGAUUGCAAAGCAUAGUAGGGUUAAAUAUGUUAGAACAAUCUCGUCCUAACGAAGGGGCAAUACAAAUUUUGGUAACUGAAGGAAGAAUCCGCCUAACUGAAUUGCGUCGCCGUGCUCGGUGUACAAUUCAUGCCCCAAUGCAAUCUAUAAAUAUGGAAAGUUGUAUUGAGGAAUAAAAUAUUGGACAAGAAGUUGGUAUUAAAAAUGGUCGUAUCUCUUCACAAAUAGAAGGGAUGGUUGAAGGUGAGAUGUGUUCUUAACUAGUUUAUCUUAUGUUUAAUAUUUUUGUAAGGAUAUUGCUAAUUUUACAUUUUCCUUUUGUAGAAAAUAUUGCUAUUGAUGCAGGGAAUAUAUUAAGAGAUGAAAUUCAAACAACYCAUGUGCAUCAUGAUGGAAAGGCCUUCAUGGUUCAUUAAGACAAUAUUUGGUUCAUUUUUCUCUUGGUUUAGUUAAGAUUCUAACUGUCAAGGAGACCGUAAACUUGAUCGAUUAAGAAACUGUUUGGGAGAUUGUAAAUUGCAUGAUCAAGAAGUUGAAAAAUGAGAUCCAUUGCUGCAGUCACCGCUCCAUUCAAGGUGGCAAGGUUCUCUAGGGGUUUUCUUGAAGGAUCCAAUCAUUCAUUAUGACUUGAUAAACAGGUUAUUCUUGUAUUGUAUUUUCUACAUUCCUCUUGUAUAUGUUGAUACGGUUUUCCAAUUCUUGAACCUGAUUUUUGGUUGUUUAGAUUGGGUUUCUGAUUUAUAGGAUAUUGGGUCUUCAAUUGUCAUUUGAUCCAAUUUUCA